GCCGCGUGUGUGAAGAAGGCCUUCGGGUUGUAAAGCACUUUCAGUCAGGAGGAAAGGUUAGUAGUUAAUACCUGCUAGCUGUGACGUUACUGACAGAAGAAGCACCGGCUAACUCCGUGCCAGCAGCCGCGGUAAUACGGAGGGUGCGAGCGUUAAUCGGAAUUACUGGGCGUAAAGCGUACGCAGGCGGUUUGUUAAGCGAGAUGUGAAAGCCCCGGGCUCAACCUGGGAACUGCAUUUCGAACUGGCAAACUAGAGUGUGAUAGAGGGUGGUAGAAUUUCAGGUGUAGCGGUGAAAUGCGUAGAGAUCUGAAGGAAUACCGAUGGCGAAGGCAGCCACCUGGGUCAACACUGACGCUCAUGUACGAAAGCGUGGGGAGCAAACAGGAUUAGAUACCCUGGUAGUCCACGCCGUAAACGAUGUCUACUAGAAGCUCGGAACCUCGGUUCUGUUUUUCAAAGCUAACGCAUUAAGUAGACCGCCUGGGGAGUACGGCCGCAAGGUUAAAACUCAAAUGAAUUGACGGGGGCCCGCACAAGCGGUGGAGCAUGUGGUUUAAUUCGAUGCAACGCGAAGAACCUUACCUACACUUGACAUACAGAGAACUUACCAGAGAUGGUUUGGUGCCUUCGGGAACUCUGAUACAGGUGCUGCAUGGCUGUCGUCAGCUCGUGUUGUGAGAUGUUGGGUUAAGUCCCGCAACGAGCGCAACCC
rnacentral:rRNA from 1 species